ACAUCAGGCCCUGAUCCAAAGCCCACUGACGUGAAUGGGAGUCUUUCCAUUCAUGCCAAUGGGUUUUGGAUCAAGCCCUCAAUGC
rnacentral:pre_miRNA from 1 species